UUUAUGUAGUAUUUUUACGCAAUAUAAACAGUAUGAAAUUUUGUUACAAUCAAUAAUGUGUUUCCAUCCUUAUUGUUUGGAUAAAAGUUUACAAGAAAAUUUGAUGGCGACAUCAAUUUGUGAAAGCUCAUAAGAUCAAACAGUGGAUGAAAAUUAUGUUCCAGAAGCACAAGUAUUAGAUGAGGAGCUGAUAAAUUUAGUUCAACAACGACCGGCUUUGUAUGAGCAUCGAAUACCAACUCAAAAAAGAAUUAAACUAAAGAAAAAAGAUCUAUGACAGGAGCAUAUUUAUCUGCUUAUGUAGAAAAAAGGUGGCAAUAUUGAAGAAAAUAUUGCUAUAUAAAAGCUGGAAGAAAUUUUAAGAAAAUACAAAGUACUGAAAAAAGAAAUAGUGCCGCCGAUACGUCCAUAAACGAAAGGAAUAAACCAUCCUUCUGCUUUUACGAUGCAAUGAGUUUUUAAAUGAUACAUUACAAUAUAAAGAAACAUGCACUUUAAGGAUACCAAAUAGAAAAGAAACAGAUCAAGUAGCGAAUAACUAUUUCUUCACUUUCCCCUUCAAAUUCAUUUAUUAAUGAUAAUUACUCACAAUCAGAUUUAGAAAAUAGGCCACCUUUAAUGCCAUCACCUGUCUCUGAAUUUUCUGUAUCGUCUUCAUCUUCAUGAAAAAGACGAUGUUUAAAUAAUAUG